CUCUCAACUUCAUAUCCUCUCUCUCGUGUGCUCCCUCUUUUUCCUUCUCUUAAAAAAACCUCAGAUUGCUUCUUCUCCCAUGUCCGUCAACUUCACUUCAUCCCAUCAACGUCCUCAUUUACUCACCACUGAGGGUUUUUUAAGGGAUCAAAUCGUUUUGAUUUUGUUUAAGCUAUAUUGCGAUAGGAGUAUGGGGAGAGUGAAGAACAUUGAAGAGCAAGAUGCUCUCCAAGUUAGCCCUCCGAAAAGACCAUUUGGAUCAUUUUUAAUUUAUUAUGUCUACUUUUUGUAGGAGAACUGGUCAGAACGUUUGUGAUACAAGUUGGCAUCAAAUCUAGUGCUUUCAAAAGAAAAUGAACAAUGUUCCAAAAUAAUAGAAAAUGCUAGAAAUAUUCCACUACAUGAUUAUUUUCGGUCACUCAAAUGACAGUGAUUUGUAUAAAUUGAUGACUAAAUUUUUUGGAAAAUGCUGCAAUUUAGUGAAUUUUCUCUUUUAUUGAAAGGGAGAUUGAAUUUGUAUCAUUCAUGAAUCAUGAUUACAAAUGUAUGUGUUGUAUGCACACAUGCAAUGUUGUUGACAAUUAGAUUUGUGAUGUUGCCCGUGUGAGGUUGGCUAGGAGUGCUCAUGUUUACUGAAAACAAUUGAAUGUAAUUGUUAACUGUUGAUAACAUUGCAUUUUGGCAGA